GUCCGACCCCGGAAUUUCUAAGUAGGUCAGCUGGUACUAAGGCGUAUUCUGCCGCAUCAUGAAGAAGCAAAAGGAAAGUUUGCCCCAAAUUGGAAAGGCCCAUACAUCGUAAGGAAGAUAUUGCCGAGAGGAGCACUGUAUUUAGGUGAUAUCAAAGGAAAUGACCCCGACACAGCAGUAAAUACAGAUGCAGUCAUGAGAUACUACGUCUAGAUCAUACUCCAGUGAUCCUGACACAUUUGAAAAUGGCGAAGGUUUUAUCCCCCACUACUCCCAAACACUACCCAAUCCUCUCUA